GACGAACGCUGGCGGCGUGCCUAAUACAUGCAAGCCGAGCGGACAGAAGGGAGCUUGCUCCCGGAAGUUAGCGGCGGACGGGUGAGUAACACGUGGGCAACCUACCCUGUAGAUCGGGAUAACAUCGAGAAAUCGGUGCUAAUACCGGAUAAUCAUUUGAAGUGCAUGCUUCGAAUGUAAAAGAUGGCUCCGGCUAUCACUACGGGAUGGGCCCGCGGCGCAUUAGCUAGUUGGUAAGGUAAUGGCUUACCAAGGCAACGAUGCGUAGCCGACCUGAGAGGGUGAUCGGCCACCCUGGGACUGGGACACGGCCCAGACUCCUACGGGAGGCAGCAGUAGGGAAUCUUCCGCAAUGGACGAAAGUCUGACGGAGCAACGCCGCGUGAGUGAUGAAGGUUUUCGGAUCGUAAAGCUCUGUUGUUAGGGAAGAACAAGUGCCGUUUGAAUAAGGCGGCACCUUGACGGUACCUAACCAGAAAGCCACGGCUAACUACGUGCCAGCCGCCGCCGUAACAC
rnacentral:rRNA from 1 species